CGAACAUUCUGCUGUGAUGUCACCAAUAUUCGUAUGUGCAUGUUACUUACUGACCCUCUUCCCAAACACCACAGCAGCCCGGUGGAAACUGUUCUCCCAUUUGAGAAGGGAAAGCUCCUGUAUGUAGCUCAAACUCCAAAAGUAAAUGACCAGUUCAUUGAAAUUCCUGUACUGACGGAAUUCCUGGCUGACAAUGGGCAGAAGAUCCCCAUUCCGCCCCUCUCGGAGGACUUUGUGAUAUUGCCACAAAUGAAUCAUACUUCUGAGGCCAUAGGAGAGAAUGUCAUCACUUCUAUCCUCUCCUACAUAGUCUUCAAUAAACCCCAUUCCUUCUCUUGUACCCCUCAAACGGUGAGUGA
rnacentral:lncRNA from 1 species